rnacentral:lncRNA from 1 species
UUGUGGUACAACAUCUGGUGUUAAUUUAGAUAUAGUUGGAUAAAGAUGACGAUUCUCAACUCCUACGCCAAACUUCUUUUAGUUUUUUAGGAAUAGCAUACACAUGUGCAGAGGCCUUCCUGUUUCAGACAACAUAUCUACACACAUGCAGCCUACAUCACCCAUCUCAGCCUUCUUCCAUAAUAACAUCUUUUUUGAUCGUGGAGGAGUCAGCUAGCCAUAGCUACGCAAUGCUUACAUAGAAGUCAGUAUUACCUUUCUCUGAGCUUCUUUCAAAUGCAUCACUAUUGUUCGGCACUCAUGCUUACAUGAAAGCUUUGUCACACAGGUUCACAUCCUGUCCCACCACAUUCAGGGAAGCUGAGGUGCUAGUAAAAUACUUUUCACUUGGGAAAUUAACUUGACCCCACAUUAGAAUGUUGGGAAGAAACACUUGGAGAGUGCACACUCAGCUAAUCACAGCAGAGGAAAGAAACUCAUUUGAACAACUCAGUAUCUGGAGGUCACUAACAGCUGGAGGUCACCAACAGACUCAGAUGGCACCACUCAAUGUGCAGCUAUGUGAAGUCACUGCUCCUUCGUCUGUCAAAAAUACUGCAGUUCCUGGGAGCAGUUUUAGUGUACCUGCAUUGUGGUCAUGCCCUGUGGCACGUGGUGGUCGGGCUUGACCUUCAUUUUUCUUCGGGGCUCUAUUUACUGCUCACAAGCUUUGGGCAGGACUCUUAACUUUUGACCUUCGAGAAGCAGGUGGAAAAGGCAAGUGCCUGUAAUUAACAUAGCAAAAAGAGUGCAGAGCCAGCAAAAUCAAUAACAUACUUUUUUUAAUGUUCUGUUGCAAAUAUGAGCUAUGUACUUUUUCCCCCAAGAGACAUCAAACAUGUUAAAAACAGUAUGGGAUUAAUACAUACUGCACUUCUGCAUACUGAUGAGGGAAGCAAUCCAUUUCCCUCAAAAUACCUUUAUGGACUUUUAUCUAUUGUACACACAACUUUGCAAAGGUCAACUUUCC